rnacentral:sRNA from 1 species
GCCAGGUGCGGUGGCUCACGCCUGUAAUCCCAGCACUUUGGGAGGCUGAGACGGGUGGAUCACCUGAGGUCAGGAGUUCGAGACCAGCCUGGUCAACAUGGUGAAACCCCGUCUCUA